rnacentral:rRNA from 1 species
UACGUAGGGGGCAAGCGUUGUCCGGAAUCAUUGGGCGUAAAGCGCGUGUAGGCGGCUCGGUAAGUCUGCUGUGAAAGUCCAGGGCUCAACCCUGGAAAGCCGGUGGAAACUGUCGAGCUAGAGUCCGGAAGAGGCGAGUGGAAUUCCUGGUGUAGCGGUGAAAUGCGCAGAUAUCAGGAGGAACACCAAUGGCGAAGGCGGCACUCUGGGCCGUGACUGACGCUGAGGAGCGAAAGCGUGGGUAGCAAACAGG